UACGUAGGGUGCAGGCGUUAAUCGGAAUUACUGGGCGUAAAGCGUGCGCAGGCGGUUUUGUAAGCCAGAUGUGAAAUCCCCGAGCUUAACUUGGGAACUGCAUUUGGGACUGCAAAGCUGGAGUACGGCAGAGGGAGGUGGAAUUCCACGUGUAGCAGUGAAAUGCGUAGAGAUGUGGAGGAACACCGAUGGCGAAGGCAGGUCUCUGGGCCACUACUGACGCUGAGAAGCGAAAGCAUGGGGAGCGAACAGG
rnacentral:rRNA from 1 species